CCGGUAACCUAACCUAACCUACUGAAUAAAUUACUUGGUAACUAUCUUUUCAGUGAAUUAAAUUUGAAAACAUGGAUGAUAAUAUUUCUCUACCAUUGAUAUUAAAGUAUUGUUUUAAAGAUAUAAAAAAGGAUGCUGGAAGUGAGAAUAAUAAUAUAUCGGCUGUUUGCAAGAAAUGCUCUAAAACAUUAAAAGGAAGUCUAAUUUCAACUACAAAUUUUUUAAAUCAUAUAAAA